rnacentral:rRNA from 1 species
UGAGGAAUAUUGGACAAUGGGGGCAACCCUGAUCCAGCCAUGCCGCGUGAGUGAUGAAGGCCUUAGGGUUGUAAAACUCUUUCGCUAGGGAAGAUAAUGACGGUACCUAGUAAAGAAGCCCCGGCUAAUUUCGUGCCAGCAGCCGCGGUAAUACGAAAGGGGCUAGCGUUGUUCGGAAUUACUGGGCGUAAAGCGCGCGUAGGCGGCACAGCAAGUUGGGGGUGAAAUCCCGGAGCUCAACUCCGGAACUGCCUCCAAAACUGCUGAGCUAGAGGAUGUGAGAGGAUAGUGGAAUUCCAAGUGUAGAGGUGAAAUUCGUAGAUAUUUGGAAGAACACCAGUGGCGAAGGCGACUGUCUGGCACAUUUCUGACGCUGAGGUGCGAAAGCGUGGGGAGCAAACAGGAUUAGAUACCCCCGUAGUCC